GUUUCCAAGGAAGACUAAGAAAACUGCAAAAUUAAAGUGCACUGCAACAUGAAAUGCUGCUGGUGGCCAGGCGAGAUCGUGGUGUCAAAAAGGCAAGAUGGAAUCUCACGCUAUCACCCAGGAUGGAGCGCAGGGGUGUGAUCAUAGCUUACUGCAGCCUCCACAUCCUGGGCUCAAGAGAUUCUUCCAUCUCAACCUCCCAGAUUACUGGGAUUAUAGGUAUGAACCACUGCAUCUGGCCUGGAGAGACAUUUUUUAAAGAGAAAAAUCAAUUGCUGAGGGCUUUGGAUAUACUACAUAUGCUAUUAUCUGUAAAUGGAUGAUUUUCUGUGUUAUACAUAUUAUUUUAGAAUCAAAAUAAGUCUGGCCAAUAACUGCACUCAAUUCUCUUGCCUCAUAAAUGUAACAUGUCCAAAACUGAACUUUUGUUUUCUGCCACAAAAACCUGUUCCUUCUUCAGCACAUGACAUUGCUAUUCACCCAGACAUC
ensembl:lncRNA novel transcript